CCUACGGUGGGCAGCAGUGGGGAAUAUUGGUCAAUGGACGAGAGUCUGAACCAGCCAAGUAGCGUGAAGGAUGACUGCCCUAUGGGUUGUCAACUUCUUUUAUAAAGGAAUAAAACGAGGCACGUGUGCCUUUUUGCAUGUACUUUAUGAAUAAGGAUCGGCUAACUCCGUGCCAGCCGCCGCGGUACUACGGAGGAUCCGAGCGUUAUCAGGAUUUAUGUGGGUUAAAGGGAGCGUAGAUGGGUUGUUAAGUCAGUUGUGAAAGUUUGGGGCUCAACCGUCAAAUUGCAAUUGAUACUGGCAAUCUUGAGUACAGUUGAGGUAGGCGGAAUUCGUGGUGUAGCGGUGAAAUGCUUAGAUAUCACGAAGAACCCCGAUUGCGAAGGCAGCUUACUAAACUGUGACUGACAUUGAUGCUCGAAAGUGUGGGUAUCAAACAGGAUUAGAUACCCUGGUAGUC
rnacentral:rRNA from 1 species